GUCAAUCAUCAAAUUUUUGAACGCAAAUUGCACUCUCCUCGGAGAGUAUGCCUGUUUGAGGGUCAGCCUAUAAAAAAUCGACAUCGUUGCUGUUUCGCGGUGACGUUCGUCGGAAAUUGGGUCAUCUUAAAUCAUUUUGGUUUUAAGCGACUUAAAAUUUUCUUUUUGGUCCAUGAACGGAUGUAAGGUUUAGUUUUUUUCCCGG
rnacentral:misc_RNA from 1 species